AAGACUAUACUUUCAGGGAUCAUUUCUAUAGUUCGUUACUAGAGAAGUUUCUCUGAAUGUGUAGAGCACCGAAAACCACGAGGAGGAGGUGUAGCGUUUUCUCCUGAGCGUGAAGCUGACAUUUGGUGUUGCUUUGUGCAAUUGCCUUUUGUCAUUGAUGAUCGUUCUUCUUCUCCUUUAGGAGGAGGUAGAGGGAGAUAACGCAGUCUGAGUGGU